ensembl:lncRNA
AUGUUAUCAUUAGUCUCCCUAUUUCAAUCCCCUUGUGUUUGCUGUCUGGUGCAGUUCAUUGUUACACAUUGUCUGACCUGUGGAUUGUAUUUCUGUCGUGUGAUAACCAGAGUGAAGAGUCUUUUUGCUUUACUGUGUGUUUUCAGUCUAGUCAGAGUCUUGUUAAGUGUUCAUCUUUUCCCUAGUCAUUGUUUUUCCCCUCGUGGGUUUUGUUUUCCUUUUUUGUCAGUAAUAAACCUUGUGUGUAGUGCAUCCUGUCUGCACUUGAGUUCAUCCCCGCAUCCUUGUGACAGAAUGAACCGCCCAAGAAUGAACCCAGCAGACAGGAUGUCCUCCCAACCCCAGAGACAAUCAGAGUUCUGGGAACAAUGCUGGUUGUCGUCCCCCACCGACAAGAGGAGGGUUAACCUUCCAUUCUCGUCCCAGAGUGAGUGGAUCCUGAGGGAGUAUGCCCGGCUCUGGGAGAGUUUCUCCCAGGAGGAGCCGCAGGUUUCCUCCUCGAGUUCCCCACCUUCUGCGAAGCUGCCUGUGAUCUCAGAGGGUCGUGUCCUGGCUGUGGCAACACUGGGGGAUCAGGCUCAUCCCUCUUCGAAUCCCGAGGAAUCUUCCGCACCUAUCAGCCUCUGCAGGAAACGUGGGAGACGGAUCUCGUGGGAGUCUGCCUCGGAGUCCUCAGCAACGGAGUCAACCCUGCCUGAGACUGUCCUUCCACUACCAGUCACGGCUCCUGCUGAACCUCCCCAACUGAUCACAGAUCCGGCUAUUGCCUCUGCUCAGUGGCCAAGGAGGAAGAGGGGUGCUCUCUGUCCUUCGUCCCCAUCUCCCCCUGAGUCCGCGAUGGCUCCCCAACCUGCCACUGUAACCGAGAGCGUUAUUCCUGAGCCUGCCGCUGUAAGCACGGUUGCUGAUGGGAAGGCUGUUCCGAAGACUGUGGGAGAAACUGUUGUUCCUGAAACUACCACUGUGAGGGAGGUUUCCGAACCAGUAACCAAGAGAGCAGUAUCUGAGUCUGCAGUUGUGAGAGCUGAGGAGAGAGCCGCGGCCGAUUCUGCUGCUAAAGCAGUCUUGCAGUCUGUUUCAGCUCAUCAGGAGAUGCCUGUCGUCAUUGCUGCCAAGACCCUGUUGGAAUAUUUGUCACGCCUUGUCAAAAUCCUAGAGGUUCCUGUCAGACCUGUCUUGUCCCCAGAACCUGUGCCUAGAGCCGCAGAGAGUGCUGACCCCAAGCCGGCCGCUGAGAGCUCUGUUCCGCUACAGAGGCAGAGAUGCCGAGUGUCGAUUCGGUGUGGGGAAGCAUCGACUCUGGGUCUGCUUCUGUGA